UAUUGCACAAUGGGCGCAAGCCUGAUGCAGCCAUGCCGCGUGUGUGAAGAAGGCCUUCGGGUUGUAAAGCACUUUCAGUAAGGAGGAAAGGGUAGUCUUUAAUAGAGGCUAUCUGUGACGUUACUUACAGAAGAAGCACCGGCUAACUCCGUGCCAGCAGCCGCGGUAAUACGGAGGGUGCGAGCGUUAAUCGGAAUUACUGGGCGUAAAGCGUACGCAGGCGGUUUGUUAAGCGAGAUGUGAAAGCCCCGGGCUCAACCUGGGAACUGCAUUUCGAACUGGCAAACUAGAGUGUGAUAGAGGGUGGUAGAAUUUCAGGUGUAGCGGUGAAAUGCGUAGAGAUCUGAAGGAAUACCGAUGGCGAAGGCAGCCACCUGGGUCAACACUGACGCUCAUUACGAAA
rnacentral:rRNA from 1 species